UUAAGCGAGUGAAUCUUAGAGGUCUUAAACUUUUUAGAGUUUGUGAUGUCUCGAGCAACUUCAUUUCGGGACACGGUUCCUUUUGAAAAGAGAAAAAGCGAUUCCGCUCGAAUGCGGGCCAAAUUUCCGGAUAGAAUACCCGUAAUAGUGGAGCGUGCUAAGAAAUGUAAUCUUCUCGAGAUUGACAGGAAAAAGUAUCUUGUCCCUAUGGACUUAACUGUGUGGCAAUUCAUUAUCAUAAUUAGAAAACGCGUAAAACUUUCGCCCGAAAGGGCUUUAUUUUUAAUUGUUAACAACGUGAUUCCAUCUACUUCUGCUGUAAUGAAUGCAGUCUAUGAAGAACAAAAAUCUGCAGAUGGUUUUUUAUAUAUGACUUAUACUGGUGAGGAUACGUUUGGUUUGCUUAAUACGUUUAUAUAAAUG